rnacentral:antisense_RNA from 1 species
UCAAUAAUACCUCGUAAGUUUUGUUGAUACCGAAGCCCUGACUGUUCCCGCAGUUGGGGCUUCACU